CAUGUGGUCUAGUGGUUAGGAUUCGUGGUUUUCACCCACGCGGCCCGGGUUCGAUUCCCGGCAUG
rnacentral:tRNA from 1 species